AUGGGCAAAGAGACUGUGGAUGGCACCUAAACCUCUCUUCUUAAAAGAACUGAAUUUUCUUAUCGAAUAUGAUAUGCUUGAGCUUUAGAAUGUCAUUAGCAGAUGUACAUCUUUUGGAAGAAGCAAUAUUACUGAGCCUUCAUAUGUACUGAAGUCCCAUAGGAGAAGAGAACAACAGCAACAGCAACAGCAACAGCAGCAACAACAAGAAGAAGCAAUAUUUUUCUAUAUGUUCCCUAAGAUUUUUAAAUCAUUUGAUAUAUGUAUAUAUAAAAUAUAAAGUCAGUAUAGUAUAUAUAUCCAUAUAUAGAUAUAUAUACAUAUAGUGCCUCAUUAAGUUCUCACAUAAAAUCUGAAAGCUGAUCCAAGAGGAGGAUUGAAAGAAAACAGAGCUCCCAUAGACAAAGACUGAUUCUUCAUCUAUCUGACAUGUCAUGCCAACAAAUGGUUUUGUGUGCACUCUGUCAGUGUCUUAAUCAUUGUCACUCCAACCCCCUCCCCCAACACCUUCACAGCUAAGAAAGCUCUUCCAGUACUUAAUCCUUCAACUUGUCUAUGUUGUAAAGACAUUCAGAUGAGACAUGAUAAUAUACAUGAUUUACAUGUUUCUGUCAUUGGCCAGAUUUGUCACACAUCAAAAUCACAUAAGAAGAAUUUCCCUUUGGAAAUAUGUGAUGUUCUUGAUUAGAUCUAAAAAAUAAGUCUGCCUUUAGUAAUCUAAAUUUUUGGUUUUGUGGAUUUCUUUUAAUAAUUUUACAAAUAGUUUCACAAAAUAAAUACUUUUUUUACAGUUAUUAGUAUUAAAAGUAUGCAUGACAGCCUAAAAAGGUUUCUUUCUCUAUAUCAUCUGUGAUUGCUAGAAGCAUGUAAGUGAUUUAAUCGUCACCCUAUAGGGUCAUCAAGAGGUAGAUCUUGAAUAGAAUUAAAAGUCUAUGCAAUUAUUGGGAGGAAUCUUAGUUUGUAAUUUCUCUGCUGAUAGUGUUUUCUACAGGAUUCUACUAAUAGACUGAUUAUUUUGUAAUGAAACAUCCUACUAUAUGGUACUACUGUCAUGAAUACUCUGUGAACACUCAGGGAAAAAAAAAGUUGAAUUGUGUCAGUCUCAUUUUAUUCAUCUGUGAUUCGUAAGACAAAAUUGAUUUCACUUCCUUCAAUGAAAACAGAGUAACCUGAAAGACAUGUGUAGUUAACUCAAUAA